GAAGAGAUCUAUGGUUGCCUGACAGAAAAAGAGAAAAGUGAUGCAUUACUUGUUCGUUUUGAUUGACAAUUCAGUGCCACGCUUUGUAGAUGGAAAUCUGUCCUCCUAAGCUCAGGUUAUUUGUAGGUCACAGCAAAACAAGGAACAUAGUGGCGAAGAACUGAGCAGCAAUGAUCCAGAGCUG
rnacentral:lncRNA from 11 species